rnacentral:rRNA from 1 species
UACGUAGGGGGCAAGCGUUGUCCGGAAUUACUGGGCGUAAAGAGCUUGUAGGCGGUUUGUCGUCGUCUGCUGUGAAAAUCCGGGGCUCAACCCCGGACUUGCAGUGGGUACGGGCAGACUGGAGUGUGGUAGGGGAGACGUGGAAUUCCUGGUGUAGCGGUGGAAAUGCGCAGAUAUCAGGAGGAACACCGGUGGCGAAGGCGGGUCUCUGG